AUUGAACGCUGGCGGCAGGCCUAACACAUGCAAGUCGAGCGGCAGCGGAAGGAAGCUUGCUCCCUUGCCGGCGAGCGGCGGACGGGUGAGUAAGGUAUGGGGAUCUGGCCGAAGGCGGGGGAUAACCACUGGAAACGGUGGCGAAUACCGCAUAAUCUCUAAGGAGCAAAAUGGGGGACCGUUCAGGCCUCACACCUUCGGAUGAACCCAUAUGAAAUUGGCUAGUAGGUGGGGUAAUGGCUCACCUAGGCGACGAACUCUAGCUGGUCUGAGAGGAUGAUCAGCCACACUGGGACUGAGACACGGCCCAGACUCCUACGGGAGGCAGCAGUGGGGAAUAUUGCACAAUGGGCGCAAGCCUGAUGCAGCCAUGCCGCGUGUAUGAAGAAGGCCUUCGGGUUGUAAAGUACUUUCAGUCGUGAGGAAGGUGUUAAGGUUAAUAACCUUAGCAAUUGACGUUAGCGACAGAAGAAGCACCGGCUAACUCCGUGCCAGCCGCCGCCGUAA
rnacentral:rRNA from 1 species